UGGGAAAAAUCAACAAUUAGGAUGUGAAGUUGAGUGGAGUAUCAUCGGGCAAAGAAAGGAAAUCAGGGAGGAAAAGAAAGGAAAUGAGGAAAAACAGAGAAUGCGAGUGCGAGAAAGAGAGAGAGAGAGAGGCGAUUGCGAGAGGUGAGCGAUCGGAGGCGAGUGCAGAAAACGAUUGAUCGGAAGUUCUGAAAGAGGUGAGGUCACGGUGGAUUUGGUGAGAGAGAAGAGUAUGGAAUCAAGAGUGCAACAGGAACUAAAACUGGAAUGCUUAGCCACGGACUCCAUACUUGAGGGAGAUAGAAUAGUAGUAUUGAACUUGAUAUGAAGUGUUACAAUUAAUUAUGUUAAAGUAAUAGAUGAUUCUCAUGUGUUUGUUUGUAUUCGUUAGAUUGAUUUUGGAUUAAAUGUUGUAUAUCUUGUAAAUAAUUGUUUUUAUUUUAUGGUAAAAGUCUUUACAGCGUUGGUUGAA